rnacentral:rRNA from 1 species
UUGCCCCUACGGGGGGCAGCAGUCGGGAAUAUUGCACAAUGGAGGAAACUCUGAUGCAGUGACGCCGCGUGAGUGAAGAAGGGUUUCGGCUCGUAAAGCUCUGUUGGUAGUGAAGAAAGAUAGAGGUAGUAACUGGCCUUUAUUUGACGGUAAUUACUUAGAAAGUCACGGCUAACUACGUGCCAGCAGCCGCGGUAAUACGUAGGUGGCAAGCGUUGUCCGGAUUUAUUGGGCGUAAAGCGAGUGCAGGCGGUUCAAUAAGU